rnacentral:rRNA from 1 species
GACGUAGGGCGCGAGCGUUGUCCGGAUUUAUUGGGCGUAAAGAGCUCGUAGGCGGCUUGUCGCGUCGUCCGUGAAAACCCACAGCUCAACUGUGGGCUUGCGGUCGAUACGGGCAGGCUAGAGUUCGGUAGGGGAGACUGGAAUUCCUGGUGUAGCGGUGAAAUGCGUAGAUAUCUGGAGGAAUACCGGUGGCGAAGGCGGCAUCCUGGACCGGCAUUGACGCUGAUGAGCGAAAGCCAGGGGAGCAAACGGG